rnacentral:lncRNA from 1 species
AUAUGUGGAUUUGGAUUUGACCCCCAGACGGGGGAACAUAAAGUUGUUUUCGUGUGGCAUGAUGUUCAUACAACAGCUAGUUGUGAGGUGUUGACUGUAGGGGUGGACAUUAGUUGGAGAAUGAUUGUUGCUGUACCUCCUCUACUUGGAUUCAUCGGAUUUUCGGAUACUUAUGCCAAUGGUUCCAUCUAUUGGAUGGUGUCAGACGAGGGUCCUCGUCGACGACGAC